rnacentral:rRNA from 1 species
UGGGGAAUUUUGGACAAUGGGGGAAACCCUGAUCCAGCCAUCCCGCGUGUGCGAUGAAGGCCUUCGGGUUGUAAAGCACUUUUGGCAGGAAAGAAACGUCGCGGGUUAAUACCCCGCGAAACUGACGGUACCUGCAGAAUAAGCACCGGCUAACUACGUGCCAGCAGCCGCGGUAAUACGUAGGGUGCAAGCGUUAAUCGGAAUUACUGGGCGUAAAGCGUGCGCAGGCGGUUCGGAAAGAAAGAUGUGAAAUCCCAGAGCUUAACUUUGGAACUGCAUUUUUAACUACCGGGCUAGAGUGUGUCAGAGGGAGGUGGAAUUCCGCGUGUAGCAGUGAAAUGCGUAGAUAUGCGGAGGAACACCGAUGGCGAAGGCAGCCUCCUGGGAUAACACUGACGCUCAUGCACGAAGGCGUGGGGAGCAAACAGGAUUAGAUACCCUGGUAGUCCACGCCCUAAACGAUGUCAACUAGCUGUUGGGGCCUUCGGGCCUUGGUAGCGCAGCUAACGCGUGAAGUUGACCGCCUGGGGAGUACGGUCGCAAGAUUAAAACUCAAA